UGCUAACCAGGAACAGGUGAGGGAGCCAGCGCUCAAACUGAAGGAGUUGCGGUAAAUGGAGGCAACUCGGAAGUGGGACAGAAAAUAAGAGUGCUGGAUGGGAAACAAUACGAAAUGCAGGAAGUAAGAAUAACCAUCAGGUUGGUCGUCUUUGGCUGUGUGGCUGCCUUGUGCGCAUUUUGUCGCGUGUUCUUCAUGACGAGGAGUUAAGGUGGCAGUAGCCGUUGAGCGGGAAGCGGAUGACGUGCGUGGAGUCAUGGUUCCAGCUGGCGUUGACCGAGUUGCACAUGACGUCGCCGAUCUCGGGGAAGACGUCCUCUAUCAGCGCCUUGUCGCCGCUCAGCGUGAUUCUCUCGCCCAGGUCGGGCGCCACGCGCACCACCACGCACUCGCAGGGACGUGACACCCGGCCCAGCUCCUGGUCCUGGCGCCAGCGCUCCAGCUCGGAGAGCAUGGGUUGCAGCUGGAAGUAUCUGGCCUCCUCGUACAGCAGACUGUAGUCCUUGGAGAGAAGGACGAAAGGCACGAGGACAAGAACCUUCUGCAAAAACUUGCAGCCAAAGAUCCUCUUUUUGACAAAAGCACCAUGCUGUUUUAAAGAUCUACUACUUCAAUGCAAGUCUAACAUCCACUACAUAAUAGAACUGCUGUUUUUAGGAAUCUACUGCAAAAACUUGCAGCCAAAGAUCUUCUUUUUGACAAAAGUACCAUGCUGUUUUUAAAGAUCUACUGCAUCAAUGCAAGUCUAACAUCCACUACAUAAAAGAACUGCUGUUUUUAGGAAUCUACUGCAAAAACUUGCAGCCAAAGAUCUUCUUUUUGACAAAAGUACCAUGCUGUUUUUAAAGAUCUACUGCAUCAAUGCAAGAUGCUCUACAUAACAGAACUGCUGUUUUUAGGGAUCUUCUGCAAAAAAAAUGUAGCCUAAAAUCCUCUUCAUGACAGAGAACAUCUGCUGUUUGUAAGGAUAUACUACAACAAUGAUAGUCUAAGAUCCUCUAAAUAAUAAAACUGCUGUUUUUAAAGAUCUCUCUAAAAAACAGUAGAGGCCCUCUGCUGUAUUUUGAGUAUCCAUUGAAACAAUUGUAGUUUAAAAUCCUCUGUAUAAUAAUAUAACUUCUGUUUUAAGGCUCUUCUGCAAAAAAGGGAAGAAAAAAAAUCAGCUUUUUAAAAGAGCGCUCUGAUUUUUGUAGGGCAGUGCUAGUUAAAUAUCCUCUUUAUCAGACCUGGGCAAAAUACGGCCCACGGGCCACAUGCGGCUCGUUAAGAUUUUCAAUCCGGCCCGCCGGACGUUCAACAUUAUUUUUUCAGACCUUUAACAUCAAACCUGUAGCCGCCAUUAUGCUGUGCAGUGUUGUUUUUAAAUGACCGUCAGUCUUGAACUAUAGAAAGUAUUUCAAUGGUUGAAAUCUGCGCUUUUGGGUGUUAUACAAGUUAUUACGGUAAUCUAGGUCACAGCAGCUCAGACCAACAACAAACCAGAGUGGGCGGGGUUUGUUUCAGAGCAGCCAGCCCAAAAUGCAUGUGUCAGAAACAGAUUUUUACAUGAUAAUAUAUCAUAUUGUAGGUGUGUAUUACCCUUUGCCAUCAUAGUUUGCUAUUUUUUACAUUUUUGUUGUUUUGCUUGAUUGUAAAAGAUCGAGGAGCUGGUCUGAGAAAUAAAAGAGGAGCAAUGUU